UGGAUUCUGACAUCAAUCAUGUUCUUACAAUACUGAAGACCUGAGAGCCUGCAAUCUUGGUUUGUAAAUUGCUGGUCUCCGUGCUUCCAGUGAACUUGGACAUUCUUCUCAUGGUUGGUCCAGGAGAGGCCAAAGCUGAGGGCACCCUGCCUUCCACCCCCAGUCCAGCUUGACCUUUUAUCUGGAGCAACAGUGUCUAGAUGAUGGGUGGGUGAGGGGUGCUAUACUGUCUGUCCCUCUGGGAAGGGUUCUGUUACUUUUGGAGGCAGCUAGGAAGUUUCUCUGUGCAGCUGCCCCCUGGUGCUGUGUGGUGACCUCAUUGCCUGUGACCCCAGGAUCACAGGAUCUGGGCUAAAGUGGUAGUCCAUAGAAACCAAAGACAAUGAUUUGGUGUUUAGAAAGCUACUCUUGGUCUGGGUGAAGUCUGGUGCUUAAGGGCUAUCACAAAGAGCGUGUCAAACCAUCUCUCAGCCUGUGAGUCAGUGGGGAGCCCAAGGGCAUCAGUGUUUGGAAACUGGAAUCCAAACCGGGCAAUCUCGGAAGGAAACUGUUUAGGAAUUGUGAUGGGACGGGCCGUGGCUGUCUCUGAAAAGGGCCUGCCAGAUAACUUAUUACUUUUAAGGACACCUUUGGCUCUUACUAAUUUAUAAAGCAUUUUAUAUAAACACACCAGGGAGUGCAUGGUGAACUACACGUAUGAUCAGUUAAGUGGGGCUAGAAUUAGGUAGGGAGAGCAUCGGACCUCUGCCUCCUCAACCUCAACUUGCUUGCUUUCUCCACUGGCUCCAAAUCUUUGUAUAGUCAUCAGCCAUGACCACCUCUCUCCCUCCCCAUCUACUACCAGCAGCGUUAAUGGGAAUAAGUACCCACUUCUCUCAGGUGUACUAUACAGCUGUGGGUGUGGUGUGUGUUUCCUGUAAUUCACACUUUAGAAAGGAAACAAGCAAACAAAAGAAACCAGGUGCUGCCCAUACUCCUAAGUGUAGACAGUGAAGGUGUGUGUCUCCCAUGCCUGAGUCUCCUGGAGGCCUAGUGAGCUCCAGGUUCAUGCAAGCACAUCAGGAGGAAUCAUAUAAUCUCAGCACGGUUGAUCCAGAUGGGAUAAGAAAGGACUCUGGGAGAGAGAAUGUGGUUCUAGAGACAAAGUGUCUAGGCUACACAGAAGAUAAGACUGUCCCAAGGAAAGAAAAGAAACCAGGAACUAGGGUGCAGCUCAGUUGUCAGAGGACUUCUCUAGGCUUGAAGCCCAGAGUCCAAUCUCAGCACCUUAUAAACUGUGGAGUGACAGGCAGUGACAUCGGCCUGUAAUCCCAACACUCAAGCAGUAGAGGCAAGAGGAUCAUAAGUUCAAGGUCUUCCUUGGCUAUUUAGGGAGUUGGAGGUUAGCUCUGGCUACAUGAGACCC
rnacentral:lncRNA from 1 species